UACGAAGGGGACUAGCGUUGUUCGGAAUCACUGGGCGUAAGGCGCACGUAGGCGGCUUUGCAAGUCGGAUGUGAAAUCCCUCGGCUUAACCAAGGAAGUGCAUCCGAAACUGCAGAGCUUGAGUACUUAAGAGGAUCGCGGAAUUCCCGGUGUAGAGGUGAAAUUCGUAGAUAUCGGGAGGAACACCAGUGGCGAAGGCGGCGAUCUGGGAAGAUACUGACGCUGAGGUGCGAAAGCGUGGGGAGCAAACAGG
rnacentral:rRNA from 1 species